UAAAUAAAACACGUACAAAUCAUCGGUACUAAUACAGUGAAGAAGCCGUUUUGGUAUCAAUCGCCGAUAUGAAACUGGAUUUGUUGUUCGUUAUCUGCUUGCUGGGCGCUUUGUCAGUGGGAUACGCCGGUGAAGAUAAAUACGUCAAGAUUUAUGUACCGUAUAAAGUGAAGACCAUAAAGCAUACCCAUACCGUGUACAAGACGAUACAUCACAAGGGACAUGAUUCCGGUGGGCAUGGUGGCGUAUCCGACUGGGAUUAAUUAAAAUUUAUAGUAGAAUUUCUUCGUUCUCAGGUCUAAUUUAACGUACUGAUCUCCUCCUAUUAAUCUUCUGAAUGCUGUUCAGUCUGUUAUUUGUUAAGUCUAAG